GAGAGAGAGAGAGAGAGAGAGAGAGAGAGAGAAAAAAAAAUCUGAGUUUUUAUAAAAAAUCCCAUUUUGAAAUAUUUACGAUUGUGCCACUGGGUUUCUUUUGACCAUAUCUCUCUCGUUACAACUCCGAUUCGAGCCCACUACGUGUCUAUGAACUCGUCUCAGUACGACCUAUCCAAAAAUAUAAGUCACGGUCCCAAAC
rnacentral:lncRNA from 1 species